CCUACGGGUGGCAGCAGUGGGGAAUAUUGGUCAAUGGGCGCAAGCCUGACCCAGCAACGCCGCGUGAAGGAAGAAGGCUUUCGGGUUGUAAACCUCUUUUAUCAGGGACGAAGCAAGCGACGGUAGCUGAAGAAUAACCCACUGCUAACUACGUGCCAGCAGCCGCGGUAAUACGUAGGGGGCAAGCGUUAUCAGGAUUUACUGGGUGUAAAGGGCGUGUAGGCGGGACUGCAAGUCAGAUGUGAAAACGACGGGCUCAACCUGUGGCCUGCAUUUGAAACUGUAGUGCUUGAGUGCAGGAGAGGCAGGCGGAAUUCGUAGUGUAGCGGUGAAAUGCGUAGAUAUUAGGAGGAACACCAGUGGCGAAGGCAGUCUACUGGACUGCAACUGACGUUGAGGCGCGAAAGCGUGGGGAGCAAACAGGAUUAGAUACCCGAGUAGUC
rnacentral:rRNA from 1 species